rnacentral:rRNA from 1 species
UGGGGAAUAUUGGACAAUGGGCGAAAGCCUGAUCCAGCCAUGCCGCGUGUGUGAAGAAGGUCUUCGGAUUGUAAAGCACUUUAAGUUGGGAGGAAGGGCAGUAAGCGAAUACCUUGCUGUUUUGACGUUACCGACAGAAUAAGCACCGGCUAACUCUGUGCCAGCAGCCGCGGUAAUACAGAGGGUGCAAGCGUUAAUCGGAAUUACUGGGCGUAAAGCGCGCGUAGGUGGUUCGUUAAGUUGAAUGUGAAAGCCCCGGGCUCAACCUGGGAACUGCAUCCAAAACUGGCGAGCUAGAGUAGGGCAGAGGGUGGUGGAAUUUCCUGUGUAGAGGUGAAAUGCGUAGAUAUAGGGAGGAACACCAGUGGCGAAGGCGACCACCUGGGCUCAUACUGACACUGAGGUGCGAAAGCGUGGGGAGCAAACAGG